GAUGAACGCUGGCGGCGUGCUUAACACAUGCAAGUCGAACGAUGAAGCCCAGCUUGCUGGGUGGAUUAGUGGCGAACGGGUGAGUAACACGUGAGCAACCUGCCCCUGACUCUGGGAUAAGCGCUGGAAACGGUGUCUAAUACUGGAUAUGUGCCACGGCCGCAUGGUCUGUGGUUGGAAAGAUUUUUUGGUUGGGGAUGGGCUCGCGGCCUAUCAGCUUGUUGGUGAGGUAAUGGCUCACCAAGGCGUCGACGGGUAGCCGGCCUGAGAGGGUGACCGGCCACACUGGGACUGAGACACGGCCCAGACUCCUACGGGAGGCAGCAGUGGGGAAUAUUGCACAAUGGGCGGAAGCCUGAUGCAGCAACGCCGCGUGAGGGAUGACGGCCUUCGGGUUGUAAACCUCUUUUAGCAGGGAAGAAGCGAGAGUGGCGGUACCUGCAGAAAAAGCACCGGCUAACUACGUGCCAGCCGCCGCAGUAACAC
rnacentral:rRNA from 1 species